rnacentral:rRNA from 1 species
AUUGAACGCUGGCGGCAGGCUUAACACAUGCAAGUCGAGCGGAGCGGCGGACGGGUGAGUAAUACUUAGGAAUCUGCCUAUUAGUGGGGGACAACAUCUCGAAAGGGAUGCUAAUACCGCAUACUAAUAGAUGAGCAUAAGUCGGAUUAGCUAGUUGGUGGGGUAAAGGCCUACCAAGGCGACGAUCCGUAGCGGGUCUGAGAGGAUGAUCCGCCACACUGGUACGGAUACAAGUCCCAGACCCCUACGGGAGGCAGCAGUUGGUAAUUUUGGACAAUCGGGGGAACCCUGAUCCAGCCAUGCCGCGUGUGUGAAGAAGGCCUUAUGGUUGUAAAGCACUUUAAGCGAGGAGGCGUUACUCGCAGAAUAAGCACCGGCUAACUCUGUGCCAGCAGCCGCGGUAAUAC